CAAUAGCGUAUAUUAAAGUUGUUGCGGUUAAAAAGCUCGUAGUUGGAUUUCUGCCGAGGACGACCGGUCCGCCCUCUGGGUGAGCAUCUGGGACGGCCUGGGCAUCCUCUUGGGGAACGUAGCUGCACUUGACUGUGUGGUGCGGUAUCCAGGACUUUUACUUUGAGGAAAUUAGAGUGUUUCAAGCAGGCGCACGCCUUGAAUACAUUAGCAUGGAAUAAUAAGAUAGGACUGUAGUGCUAUUUUGUUGGUUUGCGUACUAUGGUAAUGAUUAAUAGGGAUAGUUGGGGGUAUUCAUAUUCAAUUGUCAGAGGUGAAAUUCUUGGAUUUAUGGAAGAUGAACUACUGCGAAAGCAUUUACCAAGGAUGUUUUCAUUAAUCAAGAACGAAAGUUAGGGGAUCGAAGAUGAUCAGAUACCAU
rnacentral:rRNA from 1 species